rnacentral:rRNA from 1 species
CCCUUAGAUGUUCUGGGUCGCACGCGCGCUACACUGACGAAUUCAACGAGCUUAUAACCUUGGCCGAAAGGUCUAGGUAAUCUCCAAAAUUCGUCGUGAUGGGGAUAGAUUAUUGCAAUUAUUAAUCUUCAACGAGGAAUGCCUAGUAAGCGCAAGUCAUCAGCUUGCGUUGAUUACGUCCCUGCCCUUUGUACACACCGCCCGUCGCUACUACCGAUUGAAUGGUUUAGUGAGAUCUCCGGAUUGGCUCUGUAGGUCCCGCAAGGGAUUUAUUAGUAGCCAAGAAGCUGCUCAAACUUGAUCAUUUAGAGGAAGUAAAAGUCGUAACA